rnacentral:lncRNA from 1 species
GCUCUAUAGGGGGAGACAUGGUGUCAAGCUCUCCACCACCCCCGGUGCUGGCCUUCAUGGGGCACUAAGUGAGCUUCUCCCGGGCACCCGUGGGGGCCUAGGGGACCGGGCAUGUGUCGUCAAAAAGGGGCGGCAUAUGUUUCCACGAGUCAGGAAGUCUCGUGGACGGUAUUGGCCGAAAGGCCGAUAUUGCGGGUCGACGUCGGGGACGAGGUUCGGAUGAGGGCGAUCCUUAUGCCAUCGGCG